UGGGGAAUUUUGGACAAUGGGCGCAAGCCUGAUCCAGCCAUGCCGCGUGCGGGAAGAAGGCCUUCGGGUUGUAAACCGCUUUUGUCAGGGAAGAAAUCUUCUGAGUUAAUACCUCGGGAGGAUGACGGUACCUGAAGAAUAAGCACCGGCUAACUACGUGCCAGCAGCCGCGGUAAUACGUAGGGUGCAAGCGUUAAUCGGAAUUACUGGGCGUAAAGCGUGCGCAGGCGGUUUUGUAAGACAGAGGUGAAAUCCCCGGGCUCAACCUGGGAACUGCCUUUGUGACUGCAAGGCUUGAGUGCGGCAGAGGGGGGAUGGAAUUCCGCGUGUAGCAGUGAAAUGCGUAGAUAUGCGGAGGAACACCGAUGGCGAAGGCAAUCCCCUGGGCCUGCACUGACGCUCAUGCACGAAAGCGUGGGGAGCAAAACAGGAUUAGAUACCCUGGUAGUCCACGCCCUAAAACGAUGUCAACU
rnacentral:rRNA from 1 species